CUUAAGUCAAGAUCACAACAAGGUAAGGCAUAGAUAAUAGCUAGUUACGUUCUAGUUGAUUUGUGUUACUCUUUGAUAUUGUCUUUCCCUGAAAGAUUGAACUUAGGUGUUUUUGAUUGCUCGGAUUAGUUGUUGUUAUGUGUACGCAAAUGAUGUUUCAUUCUUCUAAUGUGCUGAUCUCUUACUCUUCAAUAUGACUUUUGUAGGAUGGCCUUCCAC
rnacentral:misc_RNA from 1 species